GACGAACGCUGGCGGCGUGCUUAACACAUGCAAGUCGAACGGAAAGGCCCUGCUUUUGUGGGGUGCUCGAGUGGCGAACGGGUGAGUAACACGUGAGUAACCUGCCCUUGACUUUGGGAUAACUUCAGGAAACUGGGGCUAAUACCGGAUAGGAGCUCUCGCUGCAUGGUGGGGGUUGGAAAGUUUCGGCGGUUGGGGAUGGACUCGCGGCUUAUCGGCUUGUUGGUGGGGUAGUGGCUUACCAAGGCUUUGACGGGUAGCCGGCCUGCGAGGGUGACCGGCCACGUUGGGACUGAGAUACGGCCCAGACUCCAACGGGAGGCAGCGGUGGGGAAUAUUGCACAAUGGGCGGAAGCCUGAUGCAGCAACGCCGCGUGCGGGAUGACGGCCUUCGGGUUGUAAACCGCUUUCGCCUGUGACGAAGCGUGAGUGACGGUAAUGGGUAAAGAAGCACCGGCUAACUACGUG
rnacentral:rRNA from 1 species